GUGACUGAGUCCCCAGGUGACUAGGCCCCAGGUGACUGAGCCCCCAGGUGACCGAGCCCCCAGGUGACUAGGCCCCAGGUGACUGGGCCCCAGGUGACUGAGCCCCAGGUGACUGAGCCCCAGGUGACUGAGCCCCAGGUGACUGAGCCCCCAGGUGACUGAGCCCCCAGGUGACUAGGCCCCAGGUGACUGAGCCCCAGGUGACUGAGCCCCCAGGUGACUGAGCCCCCAGGUGACUGAGCCCCAGGUGACUGAGCCCCCAGGUGACUGAGCCCCCAGGUGACUGAGCCCCCAGGUGACUGAGCCCCCAGGUGACUGAGCCCCAGGUGACUGAGCCUCAUUCAGCCUCAUUUACUGCCUUUAAAAACAUAGCUGAUAUGGCUGACUUGCUUUAACAAAUGUGGUUUCUACUGACAAUUGAGAUGUACAAACUAUGGCACAAGGCUACGACAAGCGGAUAAGAGGCAAUCUGAAAUUUCGAUUAAGACAUUAAUGAGCUGACGGACGUAGUCAAUAUAACUAUUUGUUCAGCAUUUUGAAAUGUACAGCGACAGAAUUAAGAACAUGUGCCAUUUUUAGAAUUUGGUUUUAUUACGAUGUUGAUAAAGUAUUUCCACAGUCAGACAGAUGAAGCAACAGAAACACAACACAACACAACACAACACAAUUACAUUCCAAUCAGGAGGGUCUCCAGGGAAACAAACAACAACAACAACAACAACAACAACAACAAACAUGAUUGUGAGGUCACUUCCCAAAUGGCUCCCGAUUCCCGUCUUUUGAGAA